GGUUAAGCGACUAAGCGUACACGGUGGAUGCCCUGGCAGUCAGAGGCGAUGAAGGACGUGCUAAUCUGCGAAAAGCGUCGGUAAGGUGAUAUGAACCGUUACAGCCGGCGAUGUCCGAAUGGGGAAACCCAGUGCAAUUCGUUGCACUAUCGUUAACUGAAUACAUAGGUUAACGAGGCGAACCGGGGGAACUGAAACAUCUAAGUACCCCGAGGAAAAGAAAUCAACCGAGAUUCCCCCAGUAGCGGCGAGCGAACGGGGAGCAGCCCAGAGUCUGAAUCAGCUUGUGUGUUAGUGGAACGGUCUGGAAAGUCCGACGGUACAGGGUGAUAGUCCCGUACACCAAAAUGCACAGGCUGUGAACUCGAAGAGUAGGGCGGGACACGUGGUAUCCUGUCUGAAUAUGGGGGGACCAUCCUCCAAGGCUAAAUACUCCUGACUGACCGAUAGUGAACCAGUACCGUGAGGGAAAGGCGAAAAGAACCCCGGCGAGGGGAGUGAAAAAGAACCUGAAACCGUGUACGUACAAGCAGUGGGAGCACCUUCGGGUGUGACUGCGUACCUUUUGUAUAAUGGGUCAGCGACUUAUAUUCUGUAGCAAGGUUAACCGUAUAGGGGAGCCGCAGGGAAACCGAGUCUUAACUGGGCGUUAAGUUGCAGGGUAUAGACCCGAAACCCGGUGAUCUAGCCAUGGGCAGGUUGAAGGUUGGGUAACACUAACUGGAGGACCGAACCGACUAAUGUUGAAAAAUUAGCGGAUGACUUGUGGCUGGGGGUGAAAGGCCAAUCAAACCGGGAGAUAGCUGGUUCUCCCCGAAAGCUAUUUAGGUAGCGCCUCGUGAACUCAUCUUCGGGGGUAGAGCACUGUUUCGGCUAGGGGGUCAUCCCGACUUACCAACCCGAUGCAAACUACGAAUACCGAAGAAUGUUAUCACGGGAGACACACGGCGGGUGCUAACGUCCGUCGUGAAGAGGGAAACAACCCAGACCGCCAGCUAAGGUCCCAAAGUCAUGGUUAAGUGGGAAACGAUGUGGGAAGGCACAGACAGCCAGGAUGUUGGCUUAGAAGCAGCCAUCAUUUAAAGAAAGCGUAAUAGCUCACUGGUCGAGUCGGCCUGCGCGGAAGAUGUAACGGGGCUAAACCAUGCACCGAAGCUGCGGCAGCGACACUAUGUGUUGUUGGGUAGGGGAGCGUUCUGUAAGCCUGCGAAGGUGUGCUGUGAGGCAUGCUGGAGGUAUCAGAAGUGCGAAUGCUGACAUAAGUAACGAUAAAGCGGGUGAAAAGCCCGCUCGCCGGAAGACCAAGGGUUCCUGUCCAACGUUAAUCGGGGCAGGGUGAGUCGACCCCUAAGGCGAGGCCGAAAGGCGUAGUCGAUGGGAAACAGGUUAAUAUUCCUGUACUUGGUGUUACUGCGAAGGGGGGACGGAGAAGGCUAUGUUAGCCGGGCGACGGUUGUCCCGGUUUAAGCAUGUAGGCUGGUUAUCCAGGCAAAUCCGGAUAAUCAAGGCUGAGGUGUGAUGACGAGGCACUACGGUGCUGAAGUAACAAAUGCCCUGCUUCCAGGAAAAGCCUCUAAGCAUCAGGUAACAUCAAAUCGUACCCCAAACCGACACAGGUGGUCAGGUAGAGAAUACCAAGGCGCUUGAGAGAACUCGGGUGAAGGAACUAGGCAAAAUGGUGCCGUAACUUCGGGAGAAGGCACGCUGGUGUGUAGGUGAAGUCCCUGCGGAUGGAGCUGAGACCAGUCGAAGAUACCAGCUGGCUGCAACUGUUUAUUAAAAACACAGCACUGUGCAAACACGAAAGUGGACGUAUACGGUGUGACGCCUGCCCGGUGCCGGAAGGUUAAUUGAUGGGGUUAUCCGUAAGGAGAAGCUCUUGAUCGAAGCCCCGGUAAACGGCGGCCGUAACUAUAACGGUCCUAAGGUAGCGAAAUUCCUUGUCGGGUAAGUUCCGACCUGCACGAAUGGCGUAAUGAUGGCCAGGCUGUCUCCACCCGAGACUCAGUGAAAUUGAACUCGCUGUGAAGAUGCAGUGUACCCGCGGCAAGACGGAAAGACCCCGUGAACCUUUACUAUAGCUUGACACUGAACAUUGAGCCUUGAUGUGUAGGAUAGGUGGGAGGCUUUGAAGCGUGGACGCCAGUCUGCGUGGAGCCAACCUUGAAAUACCACCCUUUAAUGUUUGAUGUUCUAACGUUGGCCCCUGACCGGGGUUGCGGACAGUGUCUGGUGGGUAGUUUGACUGGGGCGGUCUCCUCCCAAAGCGUAACGGAGGAGCACGAAGGUUAGCUAAUCCUGGUCGGACAUCAGGAGGUUAGUGCAAUGGCAUAAGCUAGCUUGACUGCGAGCGUGACGGCGCGAGCAGGUGCGAAAGCAGGUCAUAGUGAUCCGGUGGUUCUGAAUGGAAGGGCCAUCGCUCAACGGAUAAAAGGUACUCCGGGGAUAACAGGCUGAUACCGCCCAAGAGUUCAUAUCGACGGCGGUGUUUGGCACCUCGAUGUCGGCUCAUCACAUCCUGGGGCUGAAGUAGGUCCCAAGGGUAUGGCUGUUCGCCAUUUAAAGUGGUACGCGAGCUGGGUUUAGAACGUCGUGAGACAGUUCGGUCCCUAUCUGCCGUGGGCGCUGGAGAAUUGAGGGGGGCUGCUCCUAGUACGAGAGGACCGGAGUGGACGCAUCACUGGUGUUCGGGUUGUCAUGCCAAUGGCACUGCCCGGUAGCUAAAUGCGGAAGAGAUAAGUGCUGAAAGCAUCUAAGCACGAAACUUGCCCCGAGAUGAGUUCUCCCUGAGACUUUAAGUCUCCUGAAGGAACGUUAAAGACGAUGACGUUGAUAGGCCGGGUGUGUAAGCGCAGCGAUGCGUUGAGCUAACCGGUACUAAUGAACCGUGAGGCUUAACCUU
rnacentral:rRNA from 1 species